ensembl:lncRNA CD63-AS1 CD63 antisense RNA 1
GCCGGCCUCCCUCAUGUGACGCGGUAACAGCUGCGGCCUGAGUCACUGGGCCCGGCGCGGGGUGGGCCGAGCCCCCCGCCCGGCCAGGGCCACGUGGCCCCUACCCGGAAGAAGGCGCCCACCCCCGCAAAGGGAAAGCCGCAAGGGCAAGACCUCGGGGCGCCUGGGGCCCCCCUCUGGCGCUAUACCUCCGUGCCAACUCGGGGUAGGAGAGCGGGGCGGAGCGCAGCCUGGGUCACUCUGGUUCAGAGAAGCGGACGAGGGAUCCUAGUCUGAGAAAAGGGGAGGAAGCCCUUCCCCGAAGCCACGCUACCCAGUCAAUCAAGACACGUCCGCGUCGGGUCCCGCCCUCUGGGGGAGGAUUGACAAGGUCUGUGCUUCCAGCCUCCCAGACAGCUCCUGCAUCCGUCUGUGAUAGCGAGGGCUUGGGGGAAGACACGAAGGCAGGAGAGGCUUACAUCCUCUGGAUUUCCCCGUCUUAUCCCAGAAGACAAAGCCAGGUGAGGGCUGGAAGCGGGCUAGGGGGAUCAAGCUGCCUCCCUCCCUUGUGUGCCAGGGGUGGUCCCCAGAAGGAGCUGAUCUGAACAGGCCGGAGAGUAGGACCGGCCGUCACACCCCCACACCUCCAGCCUCGGCCCCACUCCUUGGGCUCUUAAGGUCCUGCCUCAAGAACCACUUCCUGAGUCUUAGUGUAUGUGUGUACACAAAGAAUGAAAGAAGUCUCUAGAGCUAAAGGAAGGAGAUCCGGGCUGGGCUGAGAAGCAUCUUCCAGGAUCACGGCCUUCCCGCGGGACACACCAAGCCCAUUCCGGAUCUUGCUCUUCCUGACCAUGGCUGGCAGGCUGUGGAGGAGGAGCGGAGAGCAGAAGAAAGGAGUAUUCAUCAGGUUCCUUAUUGUGCUGCCACUAGAUGCCAGGCAUGUGCUAGGCUUGGGGGCUGCAAGGAGAGGAAGACAGCGGCCCUGCCCUCUGCUAGCAGGCAGAACCGAGUUCUGGCCACACUGUGAAGAAAGGCAGAAGCCUGCGGUGGCAGCUGGUUAAGCUCAGAGGGAGGGAAAGGGAGAGGAGAAUGGAUUUCACGGAGCAGAAGGAUGUGCUCAAGGUGACCUUGGAGAAUAAAGGGGAGAGCUCCAGGGACAGAGAAGCAGUCGACUGUGGAAAAAAAAGGAGCAUUUUGUAAAGUACAUGGCAGGUUGGGGUUGGCUGGCUCAAAGGGCUUGGGACGGAUGUGGUGAGAUGGGCUGAAGGUGGUCUGAAGAUCAAGAUUGAGAGACUAGAUACAUAACAACCAACUGCAAUGUUUGGUCCUUCAUUGAAUGGUUGAACAAACCAGCUGUGAAAGACAUUUUGGGACAUACAGACAUGGACUGAGAAUUAGACAUAAGAAAAUUAUUUUGUUAACUGUUAUCAUGGUUAACAAAACGGUCAUAUAAUAUGAUUAUGUAGAGAAGUUACUCUA